rnacentral:rRNA from 1 species
AUACGGAGGGGGCUAGCGUUGUUCGGAAUUACUGGGCGUAAAGCGCUCGUAGGCGGAUCGGUCAGUUAGGGGUGAAAUCCCAGGGCUCAACCCUGGAACUGCCUCUAAUACUGCCGAUCUAGAGUCCGGAAGAGGUGAGUGGAAUUCCUAGUGUAGAGGUGAAAUUCGUAGAUAUUAGGAAGAACACCAGUGGCGAAGGCGGCUCACUGGUCCGGUACUGACGCUGAGGAGCGAAAGCGUGGGGAGCAAACAGGAUUAGAAACCCCAGUAGUCC